UACGGCCAUAUCACGUUGAAACACCGAUUCCCGUACGAUCACUGGUUAAGCAACGUCGAGCUUGGUUAGUACCUAGAUGGCUGACUGCUUGGGAGUAACGUGUGCUGUAAG